GUGCAUAUGAAAGCAGUAUCUCCAAUAAGAUGGUAACUUGAGAACAGCUGGAAAGUUUGUACUGGAGGAUUUCUCCCAGGAAAUGUGGAGACUGAUCUGUGGUGACUCUAAGACUUUGAUGAAAUUUUGGCAACAACCAGAUAAGAAUGCCUUCUAUAGUCACGAUGUCUUCUCUCUGCUUCACCGGCACCUCUGACUGUGCCCUUCUGCGAUCUUGCCAAACUGAACCUUCCACCCAUCCCCUAAACAUUUUGUGCCUCCAUUUCAUUUGAUACACAAAGGCAGCCUCACAUAAUGGCCACAAUGCUGGGCAUGGAGUCAAGAAGAAAGACUCAGUGCAGGAAUGCUCUCUACAGUAUCUGUGAUGGGCACAGAUGGAGCAGCGGAGAGACUACAAGACCCGCAGUCAAGAAGACCUACGUUUUCUCCCCUCCCGCUGGAAAAAAGAAAAGAAAAACAAAACUGUGGUAAUAAAUGUGCAUGAUCAAGCAAAACAAAUGCCCAUAUUGGUCAUGCCCCCCAAAAUACAUGCCUUAUUCUGUACCCUGAGUCUAUCACUCCUCUGUCAGGAGGUAGGCAACAUGUUUCAUGAUCAGUCCUCUCAAAUCAUGAAGAAUAAGUUGUUGCCUUGAUCAGAAUUCUCAAGU